AGAGUUUGAUCCUGGCUCAGAUUGAACGCUGGCGGCAGGCCUAACACAUGCAAGUCGAGCGGCAGCGGGAAGUAGCUUGCUACUUUGCCGGCGAGCGGCGGACGGGUGAGUAAUGUCUGGGAAACUGCCUGAUGGAGGGGGAUAACUACUGGAAACGGUAGCUAAUACCGCAUGACCUCGCAAGAGCAAAGUGGGGGACCUUCGGGCCUCACGCCAUCGGAUGUGCCCAGAUGGGAUUAGCUAGUAGGUGGGGUAAUGGCUCACCUAGGCGACGAUCCCUAGCUGGUCUGAGAGGAUGACCAGCCACACUGGAACUGAGACACGGUCCAGACUCCUACGGGAGGCAGCAGUGGGGAAUAUUGCACAAUGGGCGCAAGCCUGAUGCAGCCAUGCCGCGUGUGUGAAGAAGGCCUUAGGGUUGUAAAGCACUUUCAGCGAGGAGGAAGGGUUCAGUGUUAAUAGCACUGUACAUUGACGUUACUCGCAGAAGAAGCACCGGCUAACUCCGUGCCAGCAGCCGCGGUAAUACGGAGGGUGCAAGCGUUAAUCGGAAUUACUGGGCGUAAAGCGCACGCAGGCGGUUUGUUAAGUCAGAUGUGAAAUCCCCGAGCUUAACUUGGGAACUGCAUUUGAAACUGGCAAGCUAGAGUCUUGUAGAGGGGGGUAGAAUUCCAGGUGUAGCGGUGAAAUGCGUAGAGAUCUGGAGGAAUACCGGUGGCGAAGGCGGCCCCC
rnacentral:rRNA from 1 species